ACUGUGUGGUAGGUAGCCUCAUGGUUCAGCUAGGCCACUAGUCACCGUGUUUCAACUGGUCACUGUGUGGUAGGUAGCCUCAUGGUUCAGCUAGGCCACGAGUCACCGUGUUUCAACUGGUCACUGUGUGGUAGGUAGCCUCAUGGUUCAGCUAGGCCACGAGUCACCGUGUUUCAACUGGUCACUGUGUGGUAGGUAGCCUCAUGGUUCAGCUAGGCCACGAGUCACCGUGUUUCAACUGGUCACUGUGUGGUAGGUAGCCUCAUGGUUCAGCUAGGCCACUAGUCACCGU